rnacentral:rRNA from 1 species
UUCCAGACUCCUACGGGAGGCAGCAGUGGGGAAUAUUGCACAAUGGGGGAAACCCUGAUGCAGCGACGCCGCGUGAGCGAUGAAGUAUUUCGGUAUGUAAAGCUCUAUCAGCAGGGAAGAAAAUGACGGUACCUGACUAAGAAGCCCCGGCUAACUACGUGCCAGCAGCCGCGGUAAUACGUAGGGGGCAAGCGUUAUCCGGAUUUACUGGGUGUAAAGGGGGCGCAGACGGCGAUGCAAGCCAGGAGUGAAAGCCCGGGGCCCAACCCCGGGACUGCUCUUGGAACUGCGUGGCUGGAGUGCAGGAGGGGCAGGCGGAAUUCCUGGUGUAGCGGUGAAAUGCGUAGAUAUCAGGAGGAACACCGGUGGCGAAGGCGGCCUGCUGGACUGCAACUGACGUUGAGGCCCGAAAGCGUGGGGAGCAAACAGGAUUAGAUACCCUUGUA